GAUGAACGCUGGCGGCGUGCCUAAUACAUGCAAGUCGAGCGAACAGAUGAGGAGCUUGCUCCUCUGACGUUAGCGGCGGACGGGUGAGUAACACGUGGAUAACCUACCUAUAAGACUGGGAUAACUUCGGGAAACCGGAGCUAAUACCGGAUAAUAUAUUGAACCGCAUGGUUCUAUAGUGAAAGACGGUUUUGCUGUCACUUAUAGAUGGAUCCGCGCCGCAUUAGCUAGUUGGUAAGGUAACGGCUUACCAAGGCAACGAUGCGUAGCCGACCUGAGAGGGUGAUCGGCCACACUGGGACUGAGACACGGUCCAGACUCCUACGGGAGGCAGCAGUAGGGAAUCUUCCGCAAUGGGCGAAAGCCUGACGGAGCAACGCCGCGUGAGUGAUGAAGGUCUUCGGAUCGUAAAACUCUGUUAUUAGGGAAGAACAAAUGUGUAAGUAACUAUGCACGUCUUGACGGUACCUAAUCAGAAAGCCACGGCUAACUACGUG
rnacentral:rRNA from 1 species